rnacentral:lncRNA from 1 species
CUCAAACUGUUCCUUCCAUUUUGGGACCAGGGGACAGAGCUCACUUAAUGCUGCUCUCCCACUGAAGACACUCACCCAUUCUCUGCCUGCAAGCCCUACCACUACGCAACUUCAAAAAUGGCUCCACCCUUCCUGAUUCCACCCCAUACAGAGGAAAGCAACUUCUUGCGACGCUUCCUUAUUCUGGAAGUGGCUCACCUCUUUCCCCUUCCAGCUCCUUUGCGCCCCCUAGAAAGCCUCCCUGGCUAAGGGGGACAGGCCCUCUCCUCAGCACUGGGCACUGACCGUCUAACCAGGGCUCUCUCUGGGCACCUGGUUGCAAGGAUGGCAAGAUACAACAACAUGCUGAUUUUAAUAGCCUCUGGCUUCUCCACUGCAUUUCUCACCUGAAUGCCCUGCACACCAAAUCUUCCAUGGGAUCACCCUUGACCUCUAGGGCAAUUCCCAAGAAUCCAGCAGAGGAGUGGGGGAAACCAAAAGACUGACAUGAAGGACUCAAGGGAAACCUCUGGAAAGAAGACACCAGACACUAAAAGGGAUAUGUGUGAAAUACUGGUUUUUAUUGGUUGGCACAAGAUUACAAUCUACAGUUUCAAUGCCCUUCCCUCCCACACAGCUCAAAUGGAAGGAAACUGAUUAACACAUAGAAAGGAAUGGCAGGCUCACAGGUUUAAGCAUUUGUUUUCACAAAAAGGAGUGGGAUAUGGGGGUGGUCAAGUUUUACGGGUAGUAACAACAUUCUCUCCAGAUGGCAGGGGGUAAGUCUGCCUGUCCUCCGUUGCUGAUACCACAUAAGGGACAUAUUAGUAAAGUAGGGAAAGGGUUAUAUGUGUGGCUGGCCUGUUCUUAAGAGAGGAAGGUGGGAUAGUAUCUGCUGUGUGCCUGUCUCAGACCAAACCUGGGGCUGAACCAGUGCCCCUUUCUUCUGAGCCCUCCUCCACAACCUGACUGUACUGCCAGCCGCACCCAUGGGAAGGAGGUGUGAAGGAAGCCUGAGAACAUCCGCCUCGAGAAAAGGAAACAGGAAAACUAUUUCCUUCCGCCUUCUCUGGACCAAAUUCCACUCCCCUCAGCUCCAGGUGAAGACACGGGGAAGAGGCCAGCCCAGACAGGUGGUCCUGAGCGGGCAAGAAGAAAAGCUUGAACUUUCCAUGCAGUACCAAGCAAGAUUGUUUUGGAAACACGCAAACAAAAAAUGGAAACCAACACCAUGUACCCACAGGUUGGGUAGCUCCCAAAUCCUGGACAGCAUUUGGAUUGGAGGUGAUAUUCCAAGUGACACAGAAACACAGCUCUCCUGGAUGGUGAAGUCUCCGCUGCAAAACUCACCAAACAGCACAGAGGAUGACUCUGGGGUCCUCUCCCACUUGCUCCCAGUUAGGUGGGUGCCCUGAUGAAGGCAAGGCUGAGUCACUAACAUGCACAGCUCCACAUCCUGGAAGCCUCUGGAGCCUCAAGGAGACAGGCUGUAUCCAACAGGACUCUGAAUAAAUGCCUGCCACCUCAACUGGGCAGUCUGACCUCUUCCACCGUCUUUAAGAAACAGAAGGGCCAUCUGCAUUAUUUAAUCACCGUUCAAUAAUGUCCUCCCUCCCCAUAGCUGCUUGAGUUAACUGUCUCACAAGUGUCCUAUGUUUUGUAAAGAUGAGGGUUAUUCUGAAAUGCAGAUGAGACUAGGAUAAAGCUGUAUUAUCAAUUACAGCCAACUCUCAUUUCUCUUAAAGCAAAAAUUCAUCCCACUGUGAUUUCUCCAGGUAUUUCCUUUAAUUCUAAAUCCACCCUUGAUAUUAGAGAAUAUUAAAAUCACACAGUUGUGGCAAAAAUCACAAUGUGGCUAUUAAAUCCUUUUUGUGAACUAAAAAAUGUGCAUGUGGCUUAGGCUCAGCUGUUUGUUUGUUUGUUUUUUUUUUUAAAGAUGAGGAUGGGGACUCCAACAAAGGCAUUAAGAAAGUACUAGAUGAAAUGAGAAAUAGGUGAAGGAUAACAUGUGAAACGUACACUCAGGUCUAACAAGUACCUAUUACUUCUCUGGUUAAGAAGGUUUAGCAGGAGCCCCCAAUGAGCACUGUAUGUAGAGAAAAGGGAAGGAGCAGGGGGAGGAACGGAUUGGCACAGAAUUUUUUUCUUCUUUUAAAAACCACAGAGGGUGACUUUUUUCUUCUAAGCAAGCAAGCCUAAGAGACAAUACAUGGGCUGGCUCCUAAUAUCAAAACAAAAUAUUUCUUUGCCACAAAGGAACUUGACUAUGUAGCAACACAUUUACAAAACUACUGCAAAACACUCCCAGAGGGCAGUGACCUACUCUGUUCCCCAGAGGCUGCAAGAAGCAAGGCCUCAAGUGCCUCACGUUCCAUGGGGCUGUGCAGCGCAAUGCAGAAGGCGGAAAUCCUGCUGUGACACCACCCUCGAGACCUUCUGCAGCCUGAGAGGCAGUGAUACUCCCACACCCUUUGAUCCUUCCAGAUGGCUCAGCCUAGACCUAGCAGUGAGAGAGCCCUCUCCAUGCAGGGCGGAUGGAGUGGUGGACACUUGCAAAAACAAAACAGUCAAUUCACUAACUGUUCCAUCCUGUUAUAUUUGCAAUGAGGAAAAUUAAGAUUCCUGUUUCAUGGGCUGCACUGUUUCUGGAAGGCUACAGAAAAUCUAACAUGGCUGACACCUCCUGGUAGCCCUUCUGUACACACACACACACACACACGUACACACACACACACACACAAGAGAGGAGAAAAUCCUGGUCCAAAAGACCACAUGACCUUACUAGUGUUUCCCCAAUGAUUGUAAUUUAUAAACUAAAAAUUUUUUAAAACCCACUGCUAUCUUUUUCUGUCCUGAGUUUGGUAGACUUUAAUGGAUGCUCUAGCAAUAACCAGAAUCUAGGACAUGCAAAUUCACUGUGAGCAAGAGGCUAGGGAUCUGCCCUAAACAUAGGAAUCUGUUUCUACCAAGUCUGAAUGAGGUCAGCACUGGUAGAAUUAAUGACAAAUCAAUGUCAAUGAAAUAUUCUGCAAACAGGGUAGUUUUUGUACUUUCUUUUCUUUUCUUUGGGGAGAUAAAGGUAUUGCAACCAUGGGUCUAACUAAUGUAUCACUAAAGGACUGUGAUGAUAUUCUCAGUAAAGACGGCCAUGGUGUUUACAGUGCCAGGGAGGGAAAAUCCCAGAUCAUCAGAAUCCCAGUGCAACAGAAAACAGCACCAGUUUCAACAAUUCUGAUGUUGGACAAAGCCUCUUUUUGUCAGUUAAGAAAGCAUAAGCACAGUGUCUCAGUUAAUUGCAUUAACAGGAAUCCAUUCAUGUCACUGAAAAAUACUUGUUGGCACAGUUCACUUUCCUGACCCAAAGACACCAACAACAAUCAAAACUGCCCUUUCAGGGUAGUAUAUUAUUACACUAGCCCAGUCAAAACACACUCAGACCAUUAACAAAUGUAUACAUUACUGUUAGCACUGCAGGUCUGUUUUAUUUUCUAAUUUAUUUAUUGAGACAGAGUCUCGAUCUGUCACCUAGGCUGGAGUGCAGUGGCGUGAUCUUGACUCACUGCAACCUCCGCCUCCCAGGAAGGUUUAAGUGAUUCUCAUGCCUCAGCCUCCCAAGUAGCUGGGAUUACAGGCGUGCACCAUCACGUCCAGCUAAUUUUUGUAUUUGAGUAGAGACAGGGUUUUGCCAUGUUGGCCAGGCUGGUCUCAAACUCCUGUCCUCAAGUGACCCACCUGCCUUGGCCUCCCAAAGUGCUGGGAUUACAGGUGUGAACCACUAUGCCCGGCCCUGCAGUUCCUUUUUUUAAAGAGUAUUGACUGUUUUCCUGCAAAGGACUUUCACAUCCAUACCAUAAAGGUAGUAUUUAUCUGGAAGAAUGUGUUUCUUGAAUUCCACUUAGCACUUGGUUAAAUCUACUUUAUUUUGCUCUUUAUUUGAACAGAACUUUAGAAUGCUCUAGGUCAGGAUAAGAAACAGUGUGUUCGUUUUUAAGUAGGAUAUGUGAAUAGGAAGUUGGCAUUCAGACUCAAGUUCCACAGUGUUGUUCUUCUCCAAUGGGACCUCUCCUUGGGGAUAUAAUUCCUUUCCCAGAGGUAUCAUGGUAUCCCAAGAAUACAACUGCUCUUUGGCUCUGUGUUUCAAGACUGGGAGAGAGGAUGUAAACUAAGAGUACACAGCAAUUUUCUUUUUCUUUUUUGAGAUGGAGUUUCACUCUUGUUGCCCAGGCAGGACGACAGUGGUGCAAUCUCGGCUCACUGCAACCUCUGCCUCCCGGGUUCAAGCGAUUAUCUCGCCUCAGUCUCACAAGUAGCUAGGAUUGUAGGCGCCCACCACACCCAGUUAAUUUUUGUAUUUUUAGUAGAGACGGGGGUUUCACCAUGUUGGCCAGGCUG